GCAGAAAGAGGAGGGUCCGCAGUAGAGCACAGCACACAUUUAUAUGGCCAUCUAAAUGAACAGAACUGAAAGACUCAUAAGCAAUGCCUCUUUCACUGAACGUGCCACUGACAGGAGAUGCUGGGCCAUGAAGAAGGCUUGAAACUGGCAGUGCUGCACUGCUCUGCCCUUGUAAUUCCCUUGUGCCAUGUUCCAGGAGCUGGGGAGGUGCUCAGCGACAAACACCACUGUACUGCUUAGUGGAGGAGCAAUCUCUUCUUUCAUGAAAAGCUGGGUAUUCACCUACAUAUCUCAAUUCUUUCCAUGCAUGUCCUUUCUUGCCCUCACCCCCCAAAUUUUGUUGACACAGAAAGCCAGGAAUUUGGUCUUAUGUCUGGGAUUUCUGAAUAGCUAGCAACCUGAGUGGAUGUGCAGUAGUGCAGACCAAGUGAUGUCUGUCCUGAUAACUGGCCAGCACACAUACAAAGAUCAGCUGUACUUGAACUGAAUAAAUAUCUGGAGCAUGUCACACUUACUGUGCAGGUGCCAGUCACCUGAGCAUGUGCCAGGAGAUGCCUGCAUCGCUUUUUCUGCCUGUGUUGUCCUGAGCUGAAAUUAAAGAUGCUGACAUAAACUUUACACAAGAAAAGGUAAAAAAUAUUAAAAUAUCUGACAGAGCCCUGUAAUGUAAAUCAGGAACCUAUCAGGUUUCAGAGGAAGUUCUUUGAGCAUGAAAUAUUCUGGCUACCAUCAAGUCUCUUGGUUUUGUUUUUUUUUCCUCCUUAGGUUUUCAGCCCUGAAUGCUCUCAAAUUAAAAAAUAAGACUAUAGGAAGGAGUGAUCUUCAGUGACAGUUGAAGUAAUGAAAAUUUACAUGUAAAUUUUACAUUGCCAUUGAUUCAGAUGAAUCCAUUACUGCUUCCUGGAGGUCAGACAUUUCACAUGACCCCUACUAUUAGUAUAAAUAACAGAAGAGGCUGAAUUUGUUCAUUGCAACUCAGCUUGUAACUCAGCUUGCAACUGCUGUGAUUUCAUUUCACAUUACAGCGCCUAAGAUGAGCCCUGCUGACUUCUGCAGAGGAAUGAAAAAAGAAAUUAUCCAAGUUUUAUACUGUAUACUACC